CACCUUCUGCCACUUUACCAAAAUUCCAUUUUUGACCUCUUCCACUAAUCUCCAUGGGCUCAACUAUGUACCACAGCUGCUCCUGACCCUCUCCUACCUCUAGUAACUCUCCUCCUUCAUCAGCUCAAUUAUUUGGGGGUAAAAUCCACCUCUUUCUCUUUGUGUUCACCCAUGGCAACACCUCUUCUCUCUCCCAUUUCCAUAUGCAUCACCCCACCUAGUUCCUAUCCACUCUAGAGCAUCCAAGGAAGCUCCAAGGCACAAAGGGACAUGCCCUGGCCCUUUAAAAAUGGCCAUGCCAGCCAUUUGCAUGCUCCAGAGCGCGCUACAGUGCGCCCAGGAACUGUAGCCGCCCUCUACCCGACGCCUCUGGCCACCUCGGGCCUCCCCAGCACGCCCGAUGAUGCGCCUCGGCGUCCGAGACACGGCAGCUGGUCGUCCCCCUCCUUUCUCUGUCUCUCUCCUGCCCCUGCUCGCACGCGCACCAUGGCCGCCCGAGAGCUCCAAUGAGCACGCUCACACGCGCGAUGCUCUGGCCCUUCCCCGCUCUCUCUCUUCUCUCCCCUCGCCCUAGACCAACCCCACGAGCACCCCAGACACGCCCACGCGCGCCCCCGUGGCUUGCAGCGAUGGCAACAGCCUCGCCGGCGCAUGAGCUCACGGUGCACCAUCGCCCGCCAUAAAAGGCCACCCCCGAGCCCUCUCUGGCCUCGGUUCACUCCCUCUUCCCCCAGCGACCUCCUCAAGCAGCCUGCUCCUCCUCCUGCACCUUCCUUCUCCUCCUACCAUCGCACGGCCGCCGCUUCGGCUCGCUCAAAUUCGAGCAACACCGAACUCACCUCCCUCCCUUUCCUCCACACAAAGACUCCCCGUGGUCCGGCGAACCUCCCCACCUCCUCGAACCGUCGCGCGGAUACUCGAACGCCGAGAGCCACGGAUGGCCGACGACCUCCCCCGCCACCGUCAAAGCUGCGGUCACCUCGGCCCCCUCCGGAGGCCGUGACCUGCACCAGCGUAUGCGCCGCUCCGCUCUGAGCUCUCCCAUAGGCGGAGCGCCGCGGGAGACGGCCGGAGGCGCCGGCUAUCGCCGGACGAGCGCCGGCGUGCGCUCUGCCUCCCCUGCUCUGCCUCGAGCGGGAGGUAGAGGACGACCGCCCCGCCAGCUGGCAGGGGGCCCGCCCGUCAGAGGCAGAGGCGACCGAGCCGGCCCACCAGUCAGGUUAAGUGGAAACGGCUUCGGGCCGAUCCACUUGCCCCGCUGGGUGGCGCAUUCCUGUAGUGCGCCUUCGGCGUCACCUCCUCCCUCUGCAGCUGAGCCACUGGGCCGAGCCCAGUAGUCGCUGUUUAGCUGGGCUUUCCCCAGUGCGCUUUAUAAGUUGACGAAGUAGACGGAAUACUUGGAGCUGGGCCAGAGAUAUUUGAAGAAUCUGAAGGAUAAGGCAAGCAGCCCUUUGACCAUGUCUAUGAAACCCUUUUUAUGCAUGUCAUAUAACACUUUUAUUA